rnacentral:rRNA from 1 species
GACGAACGCUGGCGGCGUGCUUAACACAUGCAAGUCGAACGCUGAAGCUCAGCUUUUGUUGGGUGGAUGAGUGGCGAACGGGUGAGUAACACGUGAGUAACCUGCCCCCUUCUUUGGGAUAACGCCCGGAAACGGGUGCUAAUACUGGAUAUUCACUGGUCUUCGCAUGGGGGGGGGUGGAAAGGGUGGUUCUGGGGGGGGAUGGGCUCGCGGCCUAUCAGCUUGGUGGUGGGGUGAUGGCCUACCAAGGCUUUGACGGGUGGCCGGCCGGAGAGGGUGACCGGUCACAUUGGGACUGACAUUCGGCCCAGGCUCCUACGGGGGGCCGCAGUGGGGGCUAUUGCGCGAUGGGCUCAAGCCUGAUGCAGCGCCUCCGCGUGAGGGGUGGCGGCCUUCGGGUUGUGAACCUCUUUCGCUCAUGGUCUAGCCUCAACAAUGGUUGUGGUGAGGGUAGUGGGUAAAGAAGCGCCGGCUAACUACGUG